UACGAGUGCCCCGAGCGUUAUCCGGAAUCAUUGGGCGUAAAGGGUGUGUAGGUGGUGAUACUAGUCUUUAGUUAAAUUCUUCGGCUUAACCGGGGACAUGCUGGGGAAACGGUAUCACUAGAGGAUGCGAGAGGUGUGUGGAACUCUAUGUGUAGUGGUGAAAUGCGUAGAUAUCGGGAGGAACACCAGUGGCGAAGGCGACUGCCUGGCCUGUUCUUGACGCUGAGGCGCGAAAGCUAGGGGAGCAAACGGG
rnacentral:rRNA from 1 species